AUGAAGAAGAUCAAGAGUGGAAAAGAUCUAGUGGAAGUAGUAAGGAAAAUUGAGAAGAACAUCAACGCUGGCAGUACUAUCUCCUCCCUCCUUGAGGUGAGUGUUGCCGAGAUUCCCCUUGAUACAUGUGAGGUUCCAAUACCGUCACAUCCAGCUGAGCAAGAUAGUAAGAGUCCAGAGGAAGAAAGACCUCAGAUUGAAGAAGAAAUACUUGAAGACAAGGAACAAGAUGAUCCAGAGCUCGAACAACAAAGUGAUCAAGUUGAAGACUCAUCAUCUAUUACUCUUGAAGAAGCAAAAGAAGCUGAUGUGAUUGAAGAUGAAGAACCGGAAAUGCAUUUGCCCAUCGUCAUACAGGAGCGUGAUUUAGCAGGUUCAAGGUGA
rnacentral:rRNA from 1 species